rnacentral:rRNA from 1 species
UACGAAGGGGGCUAGCGUUGUUCGGAAUUACUGGGCGUAAAGGGUGUGUAGGUAGUCUAGUACGUCAGAAGUGAAAUCCCUGGGCUCAACCCAGGAAUUGCUUUUGAGACUAUUAGACUUGAGUACAGGAGAGGUGAGUGGAAUUCCCAGUGUAGAGGUAAAAUUCGUAGAUAUCGGGAGGAACACCGGUGGCGAAGGCGGUUCUCUGGGCCUGACCUGACGCUGAGGAGCGAAAGCGUGGGGAGCGAACAGG